UUGCUUCGGCAGCACAUACACAGAAAUCAGAACAGAGAUAAGGUUAGCUUGGCCUCUGUGAAAGAAUAACAUGUGAAUUUAUGAAGUAUUCCAUAUCACU
rnacentral:snRNA from 1 species